UGAGUAGAACAUGGAACCCCUGUAACCAGGCAGAGGAGGAGGAGGAGGAGGUGUGUGUACCCUCCAGCCUGUGUGUGGAGCAGCCGAAGGCAGUUGCUCAGGCCAAGGGUGAGCCCAGAGUUUACGUGGAGCAGCUGGCUGGCCAGGAGGCCCCCAUCCUCCAAGAGGUGGAGCAGCUGAAGCCAAAGGAGGAGGAG